AUACGGGGGGUGCAAGCGUUAAUCGGAAUUACUGGGCGUAAAGCGCGCGUAGGCGGUUUGCUCAGUCGGAUGUGAAAGCCCAGGGCUCAACCUUGGAACUGCAUACGAUACUGGCAAACUAGAGUGUGAGAGAGGAUAGUGGAAUUUCCGGUGUAGCGGUGAAAUGCGUAGAUAUCGGAAGGAACAUCAGUGGCGAAGGCGACUGUCUGGCUCAACACUGACGCUGAGGUGCGAAAGCGUGGGGAGCAAACAGGAUUAGAAACCCGAGUAGUCC
rnacentral:rRNA from 1 species